GUGGGUCGCCCUGCUUAUACUGAGAGGGGCCGGUCGCGCCGUGACACCUUCUGCGGCUACUGCUCUCGGCCAGGUCAUCCAGAGUCUGAUUGUCGUGAGAAGAAGCGCGAUCAGAGGCGCUCCUCUUCCAGUGGGACUUUUGGAUCCUCCUCGACGCCGUCACUCACUGACCAAGACAUUGUGAGGCUCAAGCGUCUCUUGGCUUACUCAGGCUCUUCGUCGGCCGGUUCCGCUGCUGCUGUGACUGCAUCCACUUCUCCACCGCCGCAGUCAUCUACACAGUCUGGUACAUCUUCGUGGGUUCUGGAUUCUGGAGCCUCCUUUCAUAUGUCCUCUGAUUCUUCUGUGCUGUCUUCUCUUUGA
rnacentral:rRNA from 1 species